UGGAAGAUUGGAGGAAGAAGCCUCAUGGACUCUCCAGCACCAAGACAGGACGGAAGUGAUGGGAGUGUGAGAGGAAGACCACAGCCAGCUCAGCCUGCUGGUGCCCAAGAGGAACACGGAGGGCUCAGGAUAGAGCAGCCAUAGCAGCAGGAUUCAUUCUGAACGCCACCAGCUGGAGGUCCAAAGCUACCAAGGCCAAUGAUCCAGUACGGGGGUUCCUCUAACUGCAAAUAUGUCAAUUCUAGUUAUGCACUUAGGAGUUUGAGAAAUGAUCACCAGCUACGAAAGUAUGUUUGCAAGUUGGAGGAAGAGAUGGACGAAUGCUGGAGAAGAGUUAAGAGAAGAAAUGGAAUCGAAGUCUAGUGGGCAGAGGCAGUGGGUCCCAGGGCAGAACUGGAGAGACUGGCCUUUGGUAAGAGCAGGACCAGGAGAAAAGAAGAUGGGGAAAGGUAUGAGCAGAAUUAAUGAUUCGGUGGUGAGACAAUAAAGAAGUUCCAACUGAUGUCUUGUAUUUUCUCAAUGAGAUAUAAUUGCUUUGAGAAGUAAAUAAUCUGCUUGUACACUGCAGCUCUGUUCCUACCCUAAACUAUCAAUAUAAUGGCCCAAGGCUCUGCUUCUCAUCAUU